rnacentral:lncRNA from 1 species
UACACCCUCUCUGCAUGUGUGACAUUUGCAAUAAACAUGAUAGAUAACAGUCCAGGAACAGGGAAAAUAAUAAUGCAGUGUUUAAAUGUAUUAGGUGUAAUAUCCAGGCUCCAGUACAGCAGGUGGCAGUAACUGUUCAGCUCGCUCGAGACCCUCCAGUAAAACCCACGAAGAAGACGAAAACGAAAGUAGAAAGCGUUGCUCGUUGGAUUUGAUGCAUGCCCUUUACUAGAAAACAUUUCUUCAUUUUCAAGCUUAAAGCACAGAAAAAAUGAGUGUUUCAAAUGCUUAUAGAUUCUCUUCUUAGUGGACAAGACUGCAAGUCACACUGAACAGCAGAUUGUUGUCUCAAGCCAGUGCUGAUCAAUGACAGUUUAUCUGCAGUAUGUCAGAGAAGAGAGGAAAGAUGAGUCUCUCACAGAAACAGAGUGUAAGAUCAGACUCACAUGUGUCCAGCUCUGUGUAUGUGAAGAGUGACCGGUCAAAGAAUGAACCACCGAGAUUCAGUGAAGAAACAGCAUCACGAACCAAAUGGUAUUUGAUCUGUUUCUUAUUUUUGUUUACACAUAGACUGUGUCAGAAAGUGUGUCAGUGAAUAAUUAUCAUAAAACGUAUAGUCAAUAAAUGUAUCAUUUAUUUAUUGUUUUGCUCUUUGCUAAAAUGUUUACAAUAUAAUUUGGUAAUAUCUUUUCCUAAAAAUGCAGUAUUUUGAUUUUAUUUUUUUUACUCUCAGGCUUCAGUAUGAAACAUUAGAUCCAGAUUUACAGUCUCACAGGAGCCACAAGAAUUUUACAGACAGUCUCCUGAAGAUCUUCCAGGUAAUAAAACACAUUUUCAAGAACAUUUACUAAUUAUAAUA